rnacentral:rRNA from 1 species
GAUGAACGCUAGCUACAGGCUUAACACAUGCAAGUCGAGGGGAAACGGCAUUGAGUGCUUGCACUCUUUGGACGUCGACCGGCGCACGGGUGAGUAACGCGUAUCCAACCUUCCCAUUACUGUGGGAUAACCUGCCGAAAGGCAGACUAAUACCGCAUAGUCUUCGAUGACGGCAUCAGAUUUGAAGUAAAGAUUUAUCGGUAAUGGAUGGGGAUGCGUCUGAUUAGCUUGUUGGCGGGGUAACGGCCCACCAAGGCGACGAUCAGUAGGGGUUCUGAGAGGAAGGUCCCCCACAUUGGAACUGAGACACGGUCCAAACUCCUACGGGAGGCAGCAGUGAGGAAUAUUGGUCAAUGGACGGAAGUCUGAACCAGCCAAGUAGCGUGCAGGAUGACGGCCCUAUGGGUUGUAAACUGCUUUUGUAUGGGGAUAAAGUUAGGGACGUGUCCCUAUUUGCAGGUACCAUACGAAUAAGGACCGGCUAAUUCCGUGCCAGCCGCCGCCGUAACAC